rnacentral:lncRNA from 1 species
AACAACGGUCUUGCCAAGAAGGGCUUCGGUCACGUGCAGUCUAUUCACUGCAAGAACUGUGCCCGAUGCGUGCCCAAGGAUAAGGCCAUUGAGAAAUUCAUCAUUUGACUCUGUCUCAAAAAAAAUAAAAAAAAUUUGUCAUUUGAAACAUAGUGGAGGCUGCAGCAAUCAGGGACAUUUCUGAAGCAAGCGUCUUCGAUACCUAUGUGCUUCCCAAGCUGAAUGUGAAGCUACAUUACUGUGUGAGUUGUGCAAUUCACAGCAAAGUAGUCAGGAAUUAAUCUCAUGACACCAGCAAG